AUGGCUAGAGAGAGGGUCGAAGAGAAGCCAAGUUUGUCAGGACAUGCCCAGGCAGCGAGCCGCCGAGUUUGGGAGUUGCGGCCGGGAGCUGCGGCGGAUCACUGCCUCUUUCCCCACUCCCUCCCUGUUGGAGGAGGUGGGGGAGGGGAGGUGACGUCAGCGCCCCGCCUCGCCCCCAGGCCCCGGCGCGGACCGGGUUCUCCGGCGGGGUCCGCCUUCCGGACAGUAGCAGCAGCUAGCUUAGAGGCUGUGGCGUGUUCCCCUGCUACCGCGAUCCCCACGGUCGCUGCGGUCCCUAAGGUGAAGCGCCGGCCGUCUGCACCCUGCACCGUCUCCCGGGCUCCGCCGGGUGCUGGCGCCCCUCGCGCUCAGCACCUGAGCGGCCCCGGAGCCCCGCUGCGGGCACCUCUCCGGCUUGCUCCCUUUCCAGCCCUCUCCGGCAGCGUUUCCCACGCCUCGAACUGCAGGCUGCAUGCCCAGGACACAGUGACUCUGAUCCUGAUGCUUCUUGAGAAGGAACAAGGCAGAUAUGGCACCCAGGUAUGGUAAAAUGAAGUACUCUCUGGGCAUGACUUCCUCAAGGUCUGGUUAGCCCUUUGUGUCCCUCAAGUUCCGUCUUCCUUUUGAUGUGCUCGCAGCAGCUCUGAGCCCGGGAGCGCCGGCCCUCCCCGCAUUCUGCCUCCCUGCGCCCGACCGGGCGGAAUGACAUGCCUUCAUCGACGCCCUCUGCACGCCCUUCCACCCUUGCCCUUGCUUGGGGACCUCGUGGGAAACGGCCUCCAAUCCCUGCAUCCAAGUUCAUUAAAAGCCGUUUUUCUCUUGCAUAAUCAAAGCACUCUGUCCCUCAUUGAUCAAUCCACAGCCUAACCAAGCAAUUGAGAAGAAAUUCAUCUGCGUCCCCAAAGGUUCGCAGUGUUUGGAAAGUAUUGAACAGGGAGCGGAUGUUUCCUCUGUUUGCACUAACAAAAGGCAGAGUGCCUGCCUGGGGGUUUGAUAAGGAUCUGUGAAGCAAGGCCACCCCAGGCUGCCUCUCUAGCCACGGAGAAGCCGAAAAGCCACAGCCCCUGCUAAGUUAAUGAUGGGGAACGCUAGCAUUACCUUCUCAGAGACCAGAUUUUGUUAGGGAGCACGUGGCAAGAUCCCAUCUUAUCUGUUCCUUUCAACUGGCCACUGUCUUGAUUCUCACCCCUACCGCCACCCUGGUGAGGAGAGCUUGCUGGGUGGCUUACCUGAUCGGAUCUGAAAGGGAUCCUUUUACCGGAAUGGGAAGAGGCUACCGAACGAGGCUACAAAAGCAGCUGAUGCAGAUAAAUCUGAAUGUAGGGGAUGUUGUCCACCCUGUGGUACAGGAAAUGUUGACCUUGGAAAGCCACUUGUUCACCUGGCUAUUUUGGGAUAGUUGAGAGGCUAACUCCUGUUGUGUGUUGACUCUAAUUGUUGAAUGAUAGUGCCAGAACUAGAAAACUAGAGAUAAUUAAAUGCUUUUAGCAUAGCUCCUAACCAGGAAAAUUACUUAUUUGUUGAGUGAUUUGCAUUGUAGUUUUGCUGUUAAGUAGCCUGUGGUAAGUGUAGCAU
rnacentral:lncRNA from 1 species